rnacentral:lncRNA from 1 species
UGUUAAAAGGUUCAGUUUUAUAAUGUCCCAUAGUUGAGGGGUCUUUAUGCAUAUUCUUAAUAUACUUUACAGUAGCUGUACAGCUGUACUUAUCUGAUACAUCACGUACAAAUCAACUCCGACAUAGAGAACACCAAAGCCCGUUCACAUUAUUGAGAUUAAGAACCAUUCUCAGUAAUAAAUAACAAUACAUUUCUCGUGCCUUCUAUGUCAGGGGAAUCUAUAUAAAGUUAGAAAAAAGUGUUCGCACGUGCCAAGAAAAUGAUUUUGGAGCUCAACUAAUUUUGACAAAUUUGAGAUUUUUUUUUUUUAGAAAAAAAAGUAGCAAACUAUCUGCUUCAUUUAUUAAGUGAAAUGAACUAAGCUUGCAAGGUGGAAGCAGCUAAGGCUUCCAAGAGGAGAAAAAAUGGCAGAAAAAGAUAAAAUGAAAGAAAAAGAACGGGAGAUAAGACAAGACAAUAAGCAGAAAAAGAUGAUAGCGGAUCGUGGACAAAUUUGAGGUAUUAAAAUGAUAAAACAGAUAGAACAUUAUUUUUCUCCCUUUAUAUAUAUAUAUAGUCCUGCUGGGAUACUAUCGAUAGCACCAAGUAUUUGGUGCUAUCAAAUUUUUUGCCGUUCGAUUUAACUCUUUGACUAUUUUCACCUGUUAAAUUAUACUAUUAAACUAAUAACUCACUGAACCUUAGGGGGUUCACAUGAUCCUAACCGUACAUUUUUUUUAUCCAACGGCCGAAAACCUAAUAGCACUAAUAAUUUGGUGCUAUUGAUAGUAUUCAAGCCUAGGUCUAUAUAUAUAUAUAUAUAUAUAUAUAUAUAUAUAGAGAGAGAGAGAGAGAGAGAGAGAGAGAGAGAGAGAGAGAGAGAGUUGAGCUGGAAUGCUAUCGGAAGCAAACGAGUUCCGUUGUCACCCAUUUGUUUUCGAUAAUGGAUCAUCCAAAUCGACGAUCAGCACAAUUAAACAUGAUUUAUACCACUCGAAGCUUCUAGAUUCCAAAUUUCAUAUUUUUUUCGAUAUUGUUCUCUUAUCCAUCAAAUGGACUAAAAAAUGACCGGCUGAAAAUAAAUAUCCUUUAAAAAGUGAUGAUAAGAGUCUUGUAAUCAAGAUCAAGAGUAUAGAUCUUAUUCUAAAUAGUUUAAAGAAUUUUCUAACCAAAAUUCAAUUGAUUUGGAUAUCUUUACACCGUUAAACGAGAAAACGCCUUAUAUCGACCAUUAAAAUUACAAAUUUUGAAACCCUUUGAUCAUUAGGUCAAUGAUGUCGAAAANAAGAUUUGAAAUUUAGUUUUUAGAUACUUCAAGUGGUAUAAAUCAUGUUCAACAGUACCGAUCGUUAAUUUAGAGACUUUAUCAUUGAAAGCAAAUGAAUGACAACGGAGCUCGUUUGCUAUUGAUAUCAUUCCAGCUCAACUAUAUAUAUAUAUAUAUAUAUAUAUAUAUAUAUAUAUAUAUAUAUAUAUAUAUAGUUGAACUAAAAUACUAUCGGUAGCAAACGGGCUCCGUUGCCACCUAUUUAUUUUCGAUGAUGGAGCCUCCAAAUCGACGAUCGGAACCAUUGAAUAUAAUCUAUACCACUUGAAGUAUCUAGAAAUCAAAUUUCCUGAUUUUUUGAUAUUGUUCUCUUGUCCAUCAAGUGAGCGUAAAAAUGAACGGCUGAAAAUGAAUAUCCUCUAAAAAAUAAUGAUAGGAAUUUUAUAAUCAAGAUCGAAAGUAUAGAUCUUAUUCUAAAUAGUUUAAAAAAUUUUCUAACCAAAAUUCAAUUUAUUUGGAUAGCUUUACACCGUUAAACAAAAAAACGCCUUAUAUCUAUCAUUAAAAUUACAAAUUUUGAAACCCUUUGAUCAUUAGGUCAGUGAUGUCGAAAUGAUUUGAAAUUUGGUUUCUAGAUACUUCAAGUAGUAUAGAUCAUGUUCAAUGGUGCCGAUCGUCAAUUUAAAGGCUUCAUCAUCGAAAACAAAUGGGUGACAACGAAGCUAGUUUGCUACUGAUAGCAUUCCAGCUCAACUGUCUCUAUAUAUGUAUGUAUGUAUAUAUAUAUAUAUAUAUAUAUAUAUAUAUAUAUAUAUAUAUAUAUAUACAUAUAUACAUAUACACGCGCACACACAUACUGAUUGAAUACAUUUAUCAAACUUAUGGACAUAGAUAGUUUCGUUUAUGGUUCUGCUUUCUAUCAAACUCAUGGAUUUCUAUGAGUUGCUCUAGUUUGGAAAUCUUUGCUGAUUCUGCCCACUGCGUAAGAGGUUUUUCACGAUUUUAGAUCAUCAAUUGGAUGAGUAAUCGACAGAAUUCGUGGUAUGUGAAUAUAAGAUAAAUUAGGUGCAGGCAAUAAGUGUUAUGAUUAAAAUACAAAAAAUUCUCAUAUAAAUAUUUAUUUCAUCACUUUUUUUUUCCUUAACUUUUAAGAUUUAUAUUUUGCUUUUUCAUAAUUUUAAAAAUAUUUUUAGUAUUUUACAGCGUUAAUGGAAAGGGUGAAAUAGCAAAACCGCCCUUACUUAUUCUAUAGAGGAAAAAAGAUAAUAUAUUUAGAUGAAAUAAUAAAGGAACCUUGACUUGAAGAGGGGGCUUAAGUGCAUCAAUUUAAAAUUUUAAAAAUUUUAAGAGGAUAAAAUAGAAGAUUUUAAAAUUUAGAAAGAAAGUGAAAACAUGGGUAUUUACACUCAAUUUUUUUAUACUUUAGCCUGAGAAUCAAAAUGAAAAAUAAUGCAAUUCAUUGUUGUUUGUCGAUUAUAUUCCCGCACAAGAGAAGCUGUUCAAGGGAGUACUGUUCCAAAUUAAAAGCACUUACUAAGAGUACUAUUUUUAAAGGAACCCUAGUUAGGUCAAACAAUUUUGAGAGUCUAUAAGAUUCUAUUAAUUUUGUCUUAGUUUGUGGACAAAUCAAGAUUCAAAGUAAAGCAGUUAAGGUUUCAAUUCAAAGGAUCAUGAUGAAGUGACAGGUGUGUUUACUUUGUUUUUCUUUUUUUUUUUGUUUUUUUUUGGCUAUUUUGUUUUGUUUUGUUUUUUUAUUUUUUUGAGAGAUAGAUAGCACGCUACCCGCUUCGUUUAUUUCAUUUAGAAAUAAACUUAGCUAGAAAUGUGAAUCAACUAGGAUUCGAACUUGGGUCUCGGGUAUCAACCACUAAGCUCUUUGCCACUUGUUUUAGGGACGGUCGGUUUUGUCUUUUGUGGCCAUUUUGUUGUUGAUAGAUUUUGUAGGGAGGCUCUGAUGACACGUUGCAGGUAGAAAUAUCAGAAAUAACUUAAAUUGUUUUGAAUUUUCAAUUGAGUGGUGGCUGACGGUAACAGACGGUGUGUCUCGCUCAUAUUACUAAAGUUGUUUUGAAGUGCGAAUUGAAUAGUAUGUGAUAAUAAUGGAUACAAUGUAUCUCGCUCAUAUCACUAAAUUUAUUUUGAAAUUCGAACUGAGCCUGAUUGUGAUGGAAACGCAUUUGAUAAAAUGUUUUUGUUGCCCAAAAGACAUUUUACACCUCGUAUAAAAAAAUAUGUUGGUUUUUUCUAUAUUUUCUUUUUGGCUAUGUAUCAAUUUUCUUUUCAUCAAACUGUGAGGCACACGACAUAUUAGUAUUCAAACUUUUUUUAUAUAAUUUUUGGGUUAAUUUUUAUAAAUUAUUAUAAUCAUGUGCCCAAAAUGCUUAAGCCCAGUUAUUAUUACUAGUGUCUAAGUCUCUUAUAAACCCAAUGACAACCUCUUUCCCAUCCGAUGUGACUCGCCACACAUGUCCAGCUGGUGAACUCGUUGGGCCCAAUCACUGGUUCAAAAUGCUUAAUCCUAGGACUACUCCCGUCCUAGCACGCUUAACUCUCUUAACCUCUUGGGCCUUGCCACCAACCAAAAUGCUUAAGCCCAGUUAUUAUUACUAGUGUCUAAGUCUCUUAUAAACCCAAUGACAACUCCUUUCCUAUCCGAUGUGGGAUUAUUGGGAUGUCACAAAUCAAGUCUCAUUAGAUAAUUUACUUGACUGAAAAUUAAUGUAUCGCUGAUAGAAUAGCAAUUAAUAAUAUGACAAUAACUAUAAUACCACAUACAUUCCCUACCUAUGAAAAUGUCUCCCGAAACUAAUAUAAUAUCUACCUUUGUCUUAUAUUUGAAUCCUAUCUUAUUUUAACCUUAGUUUAAUCAAAUCCUAAUAAAAAUUUACCAAAUGUCGUUGCUAAUUACAAAACAACAUGUAAUUUUGGUUCACUAAUUCCAACAUAAGCCCAUUAAAAAAAUAGGAGGUGCAAAUGAGGUCUACAUGUUAGCUUGUCAGCAUUGCAAACCCUAGCACUACUCAGUUAGUUUGUCAUCAGCAUUGCAAACCCUAGGACGACUCCGCUAGGGCUAUAAAUUAUCAAAAAUAUUAUCUUUAUAUAUUAUUAAUAUUUAUCGGCAUAUGUUAUGUUUGUCUUUAUAUAUUAACGAUAUAGCAGCAUCUAUUACUUUUAAAGAUGUUACAUCCUUCACAUUAAAAUUUAUUGAUAACUUUGAAACAAUUUGAAUUCAAAGUUUAAAUUGAAAUUCUUAACUAAAAAUACUUUUAUUAAAAUUUAAAUUUUAAACUUUAAAUUUAGAUUAAAUUUAAAUAAAAAUAAAUAUUUAAAUAUAUAGAGUUAAAUAUAAAGUUACAAAUUUGAAUUUAAAAAUUUUAUGUUGAAUUUGAAUUUACAAAUAAAAUUCAGAACGUGAUCAUGAUUUUAAUUUAAAUUUAAAGUAAAAUUCAUUUUAAAAAUAAUUUCCAAGAUUAAAGUUAAGGCUAAAGAUAAUCUUUUAGCUAAGCUUUUCAUUUUCGAUAACUUCCAAAUUUUUUAUGCCGAAGUUAGAAAAAUGAGAUUUAGUUAUAACUCACUUUAUCAGCUAAUUUUUGUAAAGUGAUUUUCAUAUUCACUUUCGCAGACCAGUGCAAAUAAAACAAUCGAUAAAUCGUCACUUUCAAAAGUACUACUUUCGAUACUUCACUUUCGGACAACACAUUUAAUAAGGUUUGUCCGUUCCACUUUAGAAAAUUUAAAAGAACUAAAAUAUCACUGAUCAUAUUUCAGCUGGUGUCACCAUUUUCGAUCCAGUUUUAUUUCGUUCUCAUGCAAAGUUAUGAAUGAAUUUUUAAAAUAAAGUUUGUCCGAUUCUUAUAUAAACUAUAUUCGAUUCAUUCAACAUGCUAGCAAAAGCCCAGUAUGCGUCGAGAGAGUGUGUUAAGAUGAUAUCUGUAUCUUACGAUUUAAAUUUUUACAGAAUAACAGAUCUUAUAAAAUAUAAAAAUGAUUACCUUGAUUUUAAGAAAAGAAAUCAAACUGCGUGUCAGAAACUGAAGUUUUUAAUUUUAAAAUUCAACAACCAACACAUUUAAUAACUCAUGAUAAAUAAAUAUCUCGAGGGACCUUAAAUUACUCGAACAGGAACAUGAAUUACUCGAAAAGGACCUAAAAAUUAGUAAAUUAUUUCUCAUAAAUACAUAAAUACAUGAGUUAAUGUUCUUUGAAUUUCGUGCACGAGAAUCCGUAUUUCACUCGAGCACGCAACUCAUUAACCACUAACUUAUAUACAGCUGUAGCUGUACUAUUGAAAGAUACAUAGUUACAUCAAAACUACUGUUGCAUACUUUUUUUUUAAAGAAAAAAUUUAUAUUAUAUCAAUGCAAAAUUUUUAAAUUUUUGAAUAUGUUUCUAUCAAAUUUUAAUUAUUUAAAUGUAUCUUUUUAAAAGUUUGUAAUUUAUAAAUUUAUUCUUAUAAAUUAAUCAUCACUAAUUGACCAUUGAAUUUUAAUCGUUAGGGCCAAUAUCAAAACAAUGCAUGGAACCCGCUAAGGAGUGGGAAUUACGUACCCAUUACGUUAGUUAAUUAAAAAUUAAUUAGCGGAUUAAUUCAUUGAUUAAUAAUUAAUAUAAUUGCUUAUUCCACAAUUAAUUAAUCAAUCAAUAUAGUAAUUUAUUUUAAAUAACUAAUUAAUUAACUUAUUAAAUGUUAAUUAAUUUAUUAAAUUAUUAAAAUUUUAUUUAAUUGAUAGUUUGAUGCUAAUUAACUAGGUAAAAUAUUUUUUAAAAAAAUGUAUAAAUCCUCUUAUUCCCAACUAAUUUUAAAAAAAUACUUUUUAAAAUUAUAUUUUUUUAAAAAAAUUAUUGUUUAAACUCUACAAUUUAAAGGUGUAUAUAUAGCAGUUUAAUCCAACUAAUUUAUGAACACGCAGUCCUUGUACUACCCAAUAUUAUUACGUUUGGUUUGCAUAUCUUAUCCUUUUAGUUUCGAGUUUUAAUUAUCCUAUACAUAUGUCUUAGUUCUAAGUAUAAUUAAUUUUUCGAUCUUUCUUAUUAAAUUAAAGAAUUAUAUACUUAUGGUGUUAAGUCAUCUAUUUAAUUAAUUAAUAACUGGAUUCUUUGCGGAUCAGGUUAGAAACUUUUACUCAAUUACCAAAUGGAUCUGAUUUGCACAUGUAAUUUAUAUGCUUAUAACACAUAUCUUCUUUGAUAUGACCCGUUAACCCCUCCACCCGAAUUACCAUUUUCACCCGAAUUACCAUUCUUAUUCGCAUUCAAUAUUGUUAUAGAUCGAAUAUAUAGGAAUAUUUACCCAUACAUAAAUGUAUAAUUCAUUAAAAUUAAUAUUCCAGGGAGUGACAAGGGGUUUAAUUAAUUCCCUUUGACAAUGUCAUUACAUUUUGGAGAAAUUUGUCGACAAAAUAGUGCAUAAAUUCUAGGAGACUGCUAUCAUCCUAACUCUAUAAUUUUUAAUCGAAGGGUUAAAAACUCGAUAGCAAAAUAGCUCAAAUAUUAUUAAUAAUAUUCCAGCCCUAUAUAUAUAUAUAUAUAUAUAUAUAUAUAUAAGAAAUACUAUCAAUAUCACUAAGUUAUUGGUGCUUAAAUGAAAAAAAAUGUAUGGUUAGGAUGAUAUGGACUCCCUGGAAUUGAGUGAGUUAUUGGUUGAAUAGUAUAAUCUAAGAGGUGAAAAUAGUUAAAGGGUUAAAUCCAACUGCAGAAAAACUCGAUAACACUAAAAGCUUGGUACUAUUGAUAGUAUCUCAGCUGGACUCUAUGUGCGCGCGCGCACUGCGGUGUGUACGUGUGUGGGGCAUGCAUUGGCCAAAGUGAAUUCAUGGUGAACAGUGAACAAAUUAAGAAAUUUUAAUUUUCUUUUUGACUGUACAAAUUUAAGGAUCAUGGCUUGAAGAGUGAACAAAUUUCUCUAAAAAUGUUAUGAAUUUAAAUUUUUUUUAGAGAUAGAUAGUAUGCUACUCGCUUCGUUUAUUUUAUUUAAAAAUAAACUUAGCUGAAAAUGUAAAUUAACUAGAAUUCAAACUUGAAACUUCCGGUACCAACCACCAACACACGCAAACGCGCGCGCACGCACACUUAUUAGAUAAUGUAAGGGCAUAGGUUAACUUAUUGGAUAAUGUAAGGGCAUAGGUUAUUUGUAAAAUUUUAGGCAUGAAAAUAUUAUGUACAGGAUUAUUGCACCUCAAAUAUGAGGCUAAUUGCAUCGAAUAGUCCAAAUGCACUCAAUGUCACGUAAGAAGUGCGAUUGCAUCCUGCAUGCGUAGGAUUUUUCUGUGCUUAAUCUUUAAAAUUUGUAUUUGCAUAUAUUUGAGUAAAAGUUAUGGAUGCAUUAUUAGAAGGGUCACAAAAUCAUCUAAUUAGAGAGAAAAUUUUCUAUUUGACAAUUAUUUCAAUUAAAAAUAACAACAAAUUUUUUAAACACAUUAUUUUCAUAUAAAAUUUCUAUAUAAUAUAUUUUUGUUUAGACCUUUUACUAGCUGUCUCAAGUAUAUUCUAUCUGAUAUAACUGAUAAAGAAAGAUUUUUUUUUAAAAAAAAAUAUUAUGAUAAAGACAUAUUUUGAUCCUAUACAAAUUUAAGGCCAUUUUUAAUUAAACUCUAUCUCCAUUAUUUAUUGUUUCUAUUCAUAUUACUUUUUUUUUUUUGCCAACAUAUUUUUUGGGCUAUUUGUGGAACUAUUUCUAAAAACAAGUGGAUAUGAUUAUUAAUGAUUAUUAAUGUCACAUAUAAUCAUAUCUUUCCACUUAAUUAUAACCUAUCACACUAUAUGUAGAAGAGCAUAUCACGAGAGUUAAAUAUAUCCAUUUUUAUUUUAAUUUUCUUUAAAAUUAUAAGUGCAUUAUCUUAUUACGUCACACUUUAGGAUAAAAAUAGUAAUAUGUUUCCAUUUUGUGGAGUGAAAUAAAUGAAAACGUCGAAUGAAUUACAUGUGAACAUAUAUCAAUGUUCAUUGCAUAAAAUUAAUGCAUUUUAUUUUUAUUUUAUUUUAUUUUAUUUUUUUAUGGAUAUUAACAACUACCAAGUACCAAACGGGUUUAUUUUUCAACGGUUAUUUACACCCCCGGUGAGGUGGUUACGGUUUCCUCUCCCCUAUAAUGGAUAUUCGCUAUGUAUAAUGGAUUAUCCGCUAUGUGCAAAAUAGAUAAAAUAAUAUGGCUAAAAUUGCAAAGAGACCCCUCAGCUAUAGAACGUGGUGAAGUAAGCCCCUGGCUGUUGUCUAUUUUGUUUGACACUUCCUCGUUUUUUAUUUCAUUUUUAUUAUACUAAUUAUUUCAAUAGAAAUUGAAAUGAAAAUCUAAUAAAAGUAUUCUAUAUAUCAAAUUUCAUGAUUUUUAAUUAAUAAGUAUGUUUGAAGAAAGGUAGAUUUUAUUAAUAAUUAAUAAUUAAUAGCAAUAAAAUAGUUUUUGGAUUUAUUUUUUUUGAAGUUGUUGCUCAAUUAUAUGCCAUCCGAACUAGACCUUUUCAACUUUAAAUUUUUUUGUAAAAUUUAUAAUUAAUUAAAGUUAAAAAUUUUGUUAAAUCUUAUGACCAAUUGGCUAUAUAUAUUAGCAGUUAAUUAAUUCGUCUUUAUUCGUUAUAAAUUAGUUCAAACUAUAACUAUUAAUAAAAUUAUUUAAUCAGUUUAGUAAAAAUUUUAAUUUAUUUGAGUAAAAUCACCUGAUUCUUAAAAAUUAGAAGUUGAGGAGGCCUCAAUGUAAAAAAUCCUUGAGGGAGGUAUUUCCAAAUAGCCUAUAGUUGAGGAGUCUCCGUAUACUUUUACAUAAAAUAAUUCACACAUGGACAAAUUAGCUUUGGAAAAGUCAGCAUGUACAAAAAAAAUCCAUUUUUUUAAGAUAUUUUGUUUUCCUACCCAAGCAAUGCUACAUGUACACCUAAAAAAUAUAUAAAAUUCUAAAAAAUUUUAUUAUUUUUUAAUAUUAAAAUUUUAAAAGGAACAUUUAAAUCUUAGAUGAAUAUGUAUAAAAUUUAUUUUACUCUUAAAUCUACAGUAGCAAUUCUCUUUUAGGUAAAAACAUGCCGAAUUUACUUAAACUAUAAAUAGACUAUUUUAAUUUGGCUAUGUAAUCUUUCGAAUUUUAGUUUUUCUAUCAAACCUCUCAAUUUGUUUAAUUCGAGUCAGUCAAUAAUAAUUUGACUUCAAAAUUUAAAUAUAUUAUUUAUCUCUACAUAUUUAGUUAGCAUAUUUAAUACAGUUUGAGCAACUGUGAAUUUAUUGAAAUAAAUAAUUAACUUAAAUUUUAGAGUUAAAGUAUUAUUAAUCGACUCAAAUUAGAUAAAUUACAAAAUUAUAUAGUAAAAUUAAAAUUUUAAAAUAUUUAUUGCUGAUUCAAAAAUAGUUCAUAACUCAGAUAAAUUUUACACAUUUUACCUUUUCUUUAUACAUGUGUGUUACAUUACACCAGGGUGGUGAUAGGAUCCCACACCGUUUUGGUCUAUAUAACCCCAUCACCAGCUCACUCCAUAUGAGAGUGCCCAUGUCCAUUUAGACACUCCUCACCUUCCUCUUCUCCCUCUCUCUCUCUCUCUCUCUCUCUCUCUCUCUCUCUCUCUCUCUCUCUCUCUCUCUCUCCCCAUAUAUAACAAUGGCUAAUCCAAACCCAGAAGCUAAAGUUAUAACUGGUUCUACUCCACCGCAGCCGCAACCGCCGCCACCGCCGCAGCCGACGAAUUCGUUACCGGAAGAAGCAAUAGUUCCGGGGGUGAAGAAGCGCCAGAAUGUGAGGUUCGCCUUCGCCUGCGCCACCCUUGCCUCCAUGACCUCCAUCCUCUUAGGCUAUGGUAAAAGAUAUGUUAAUAUAUGUAUCCAAAUUUUUUUUAAGGACUAAUGUGCAAAAAGAUAUAUAUAUAUAUAUAUAUAUAUAGAGAGAGAGAGAGAGAGAGAGAGAGAGAGAGAGAGAGACUCUGUGAUCAUUGAAUGCGUAGGUUGAAUAGCUGGUUAGCAUAAUAAUAAUAAUUUAAAAAUAAAUAAGUGUAUAUAUAAUAUGUACUAUUAAUAGUAUCAACUCUCUUUCUCUCUAGUUUGGUUUGAUAUAUAUGUAUAAGAAAGGAUUUGUUUGGCCGAGCUUUUAUAUGCUGGGACUUACUUUGUGCCUAAAUAGGCUAUUUGGUUUAGAUAAUCUAAGCGUUCACACUCUAAAUUUUAAUUUAAUUAUCUACUUUGUGACAGACAGAAAAAUCAGAAUAUAAUUAAGAUUCGAAGUUUGAGUUUUGGAUGAUAAUUAUUUUUCUUCCGAACAAAUUUUAAAUUUUUUUUAGUUGCAUGGAAAAACAAGGUGGGAAAAUAUUUUUCGGGGUAUAUGUAAAUUAAAUUUUGGGGAAGAUAAAUAUAUAUAUAUUUUUCAUUUUCUAAAUUUUUUUUAAUGAAAAUACAAAUAAAUAAAUUCCGCUAGCUAUAUGCAUGCAAUUGUAAAUGAGCGUAAUUACUUACUGCAGACAUCGGGGUGAUGAGCGGGGCGGUGCUGUUCAUUCAGAAGGACUUGAAGAUCAGCGACACGCAGGUGGAGGUCCUGACGGGCAUCCUCAACCUCUACUCGCUGGUCGGCUCCUUCGCCGCCGGCCGCACCUCCGACUGGAUCGGCCGCCGCUACACCAUCGUCUUCGCCUCCGCCAUCUUCUUCGCCGGCGCCCUCCUCAUGGGCUUCGCCCCCAACUACGCCCUCCUCAUGCUCGGCCGCUUCGUUGCCGGCAUCGGCGUCGGCUACGCCCUCAUGAUCGCCCCCGUCUACACCGCCGAGGUCUCCCCCGCCUCCUCCCGCGGCUUCCUCACCUCCUUCCCCGAGGUAUAUAUAAGUUUAAGCUGUCAGAGAACGGUAUUUACUUAUUUUAUGUAUUAUUGAAAAAUUUAUGUAAUGUUUCGUGAUGUACGAUAAAUUAAUAAACAGGUGUUCAUCAAUACGGGUAUCCUGAUCGGCUACAUCUCGAACUACGCCUUCUCGCACCUGCCGCUGAACCUCGGGUGGCGGUUCAUGCUGGGCGUGGGCGCGAUCCCGUCCGUGUUCCUGGCCGUGGGCGUGCUGGCGAUGCCGGAGUCGCCGCGGUGGCUGGUGAUGAAGGGCCGGCUGGCGGAGGCCGCGUCGGUGCUGCACCGCACGUCCGACACCGCCGAAGAGGCCGAGCUGCGCCUGCUCGACAUCAAGAAGGCGGCCGGCGUCCCCGCCGGCUGCACCGACGACUUCUUCGCGCCCGCCAAGCGGCAGCGCGGCGGCGAGAGCGUCUGGAAGGAGCUGUUCCUCCGCCCGACGCCGCCCGUGCGCCGCAUCCUCGUCACCGCCCUCGGCAUUCACUUCUUCCAGCAGGCCUCCGGCAUCGACUCCGUCGUGCUGUACAGCCCCCGCGUGUUCCAGAAGGCCGGCAUCACCGACAAGAACAAGCUGCUCGGCACCACCGUCGCGGUCGGCUUCGUCAAGACGCUCUUCAUCCUCGUCGCCACGUUCCUGCUCGACCGCGUCGGCCGGCGGCCGCUCCUGCUCAGCAGCACCGGCGGAAUGGUGGCGUCGCUGGCGGGGCUGGGCAUCGGGCUGACGGUGAUCGGUCAUAGCGCCGGCGGCACCGUCCCGUGGGCCGUCGGGCUCUCGAUCGCCUCCAUCCUCGCCUACGUCGCCUUCUUCUCGAUCGGCCUCGGCCCGAUCACGUGGGUCUACACGUCGGAGAUCUUCCCGCUGCGCCUGCGGGCGCUCGGGUGCGCCGUCGGCGUGGCGCUGAACCGCUGCACCAGCGGCGUCAUCACGAUGACCUUCAUAUCGCUCUACAAGGCGAUCACCAUCGGGGGCAGCUUCUUCCUCUACGCCGGGAUCGCCACGGCCGCGUGGGUGUUCUUCUUCACGUACCUCCCGGAGACCCGCGGGCGCAUGCUCGAAGACACCGGAAAGCUGUUCGGAAUUAUGGAUACGGAUAAGGACGUCGAUGUCUGCGAUGAACAGCCACCUCACAAAUCCGUAGGAGAAGAAAAAGCAAUUCAACUUACUAACAACAAUAGCAGCAGUAACACUACUACUGAAACAGGGACUAACAGGCAAUUACCAAAAGUUUAGUGGCUUAGUUUGUUAGGGAUCAGAUUGUAAGAAGGAGAAAAAUGGGAGGACUUUAAAGAGAAAAAUUGUAAGAGGAUUGGUGUGACCACCCACCAAUGACAAUCGUUGGUUGAUGUAAUUGGAUACGAAAAGAGUACUACUGCUUUUCUUUUCCUUUUUUUUGUGUGUAAUUAUUGGUUGGUUGAUAUAAUUAGUUUUUAUGGGGUCUACAAUAGAUGUCCUAUUUUAGUAGUGCAAAUGGGUGAACGAAUCAAAUUUAAAAAAAAAAAAAAAGGGUUGAGAAGGAAAUGCGAAGAAUUUGGGACCAAGCAAUUACAUUACACAUACAAUAAGAAUUAUUAAUUUUUAAAAUAUCGCAAGAUAAUAUUUCUUGGGAAGCUGUGGGCUGUGGCUGCUAAAAAGUUCUUCUUUUUGUAAGUUAAAAAUCUAAAAUUUUAAAGCGAAACUUUGGAAAAAAAAAAAUUAACGAACUUAAUUAUUUUGUAUUUUGUAUUUUGUAUUUGUAUUAUAUAUAUUUGCGUAAAUAUUUUGUAUAUUUAAUUUUGUUUUCUUGGAGAAAAAAAAUAUAUUUUGUAUUUGCAUAAAUAAGUGAGGUUGGAUUCACAGGAAUGGCAUCGCAGAUCUAGGACAGCAUGUUGCGCAUUGUCGGCACUGAGAAGAAAACAAGAUAAACAUUUUUUUUGUGUUCUUUUGUUUCUUUUGCUAAAUAUUAAUAAUAUGUAUAUAUUUACUAUAAACAAAUCACAUUUUAUAUGUGUGUUAAUUAAUAAUAGAUAAUUUUAGCUAUAUUAAUUUUAUUAUAUUCGAUUUUGAUAUUAACUCAUAGAUUAAUUAAAUUUAGUCAUUACUCACCGACUAAAUUUAAUCAAAUCCAAUAAAUCUACUUUUCUGAUCGAAAAAAAAUAUAUCAGGCCAAAUGCAACGCCAUGUUCUUAUCUUAAAAUUUUUAUCAACAAUUUAUCAAUACACUAAUUAGGAACCAAAGAAGGUUUCCACUUAUUUUUUGAGGGUUGUGGGGGCCACAUCUAUUUUUUUAAAAAAAGAUUAAUUGUCACACCCCGUCACCUUCCCCAAAUAGAUGGAAGGAGCUCCACACGGGCACGUGCGCCAGACCAGCCGAACGGAUAGAGUUUUUUCUAUUCGCCCAAGACGUCAUAAUCGGUACAAUUCAAAACAUUUCAAACAGGAAUAGAAUUUAUAUAUAGAUUGUAUAAGAAAGGCAUAAUAAACAUAAAUAACUAUACUAUUAAAAACAUUCAUCUCAUUUAAUUUACAUUUAUAUUCUUUCAAAUACAAUCAAUUUUAUUACAUUUCUUUCAUUCUUUUCAACCCUUAAGCUACAUCGAUACAUGGUACAUCUAUCUUUGGUCGCAUAGCAGGACGCUAACUAUAGUUAUAUCCUUUCCUCGCGCCGCUGCGUCUCUCAUGUGUGAACCUGCAAAAUAUGGGAGUGAGAACUAUAAAAAUAGUUCCCAGUGAGUUCGAUUACCGACCUCGCUGAUUUUCCAUUAGGUCUAAUCAGGCAUAAGUAGCUACAAAAACUGAUAAGCAAUAAUACUACUACACUAAGCAUGUAUGGAACUGAAAGCAAUUCCUACUAUGCCUUACAACGGUAGGGAAUGAGUUUCACGAUUUACUAUAAUCAAGGGUGUUCUUUUACUCACUCUUGACCCAACUCAUUCUCGACCCAAUCAGGGGUUUCCACAAAUCCAGUCCAACUAACCCCACACAGCCUCACGGGUCUAGGUCCAAGAAUAAAAUGAUCAACUGUUACUCCACAUGUGACUUAUUCUCAACCCAAUCAAAGGCUUCCCACAAGACCAAGCCCAACUCACAUGAAUAUCACGAUCGACCCCACACUCAACAUGUGAUCUCACUAUACUCACCUUCUAUGCAGGAUGCAACAAUACAAUAUAGCAUAGGAUACAAGUCUAUCUCAACCCAAAGUAUAACAUGUAACAAUGCUAACCACUAUGCCAUUUUAAUAACAUCAUGGUCAAGUACUCACCACGCGCACAUAUAUAGAAUGCAAGAUACUGUAUAAUAACCUAUCUUUUUUCCUGGUCCUAAUUGCAUCAGCUCGCCUGUAGAUCGAGUCUCAACUCGCCACAUCAAGUCACCACUAUGACUGUCUGCUGGGGGCACACCGUCGUGACUCCCUCCCCCGUCUCAAUCUCAAUGUGACACUCCGGAGCUCACGGCUUGGGAGUUACGACCUCCACAAGGCUAUAACAAACAAUGCGAGUAUCAUCACGUCUUCCAACCCGAGGACCUCCCACCUUCUUGUGGGGCAACAUACAGGGACCUCAUUACAUCUCAAUCACAUGGCAUGCAAUGUUCAAAUAAUGAUGGAAUGCACAAUGUCAUGCUAUAAGUGCAAUGACCCAAUCUUUUGGUACUCAGUGUUCAAUCAACUCAUGCCAAUAACCACAUUGACAACUCAACAUCAAGGGAUCUCUCUCUAUCCCUAGUAUGGUUCAGAAGAUAUCUUUCAAUCCCACGCAUACUCAAGAAUCUCAAAACACUAGUUGUCAUACCACACAUGCACCGACCCAAUUUUUUUCACAUAUACUCGAGAGUUCACUCAACUCAUGUUGCGUGCAUCAAUAGGAUAUACAAACAUCACAACAUGUGUACACAAGCAACUAUGCAAUACUUCAUGGACUAUAUAUGAUUACUCAUUCAUGCAAUGACCCAAUUUCACAUUUUAUACUUGGGUUCUCUCAAUUCAUACCAUAAUCCUCUCAUACAUAUCAUAUUACACCCAAAUCAUAGUUUCAUUACUAGAUUCACACAUAAUCAUCACAAUGACAUCUAGUAUCUCACUUGUUUCAAUGUCCACCACUUGUUUUCUAUGUCCAACACACUAGUUUUCUCUACUAGUUCAUCCAUACAUUACUAGGGUUCAUAUAUUACUAUGUUCAUACAUCCUAGGUUUCAAGUCCUCAAUCAUAAUCAUUCUCAUAUAUCAUAAGAGGCAUACAAGUUUCUGGAAUGAGGAUUAAUUGAAUCCUAUCAUAUAUAACUAAUACAUAUAUAUACUCAAUAAGGAGAAUUAGACAUAGGAAGAAAUCCAACCAUUUCGGGAAGCACCACCCACCUUGCAACACUUCCGAUUGCUUGUAGACACUUACAAUCGGGCUCCUACGCGUAAUCGCUCCCUUUCGAGCCAAUAUGGCCAAUAUCGCCCGGUUCGGUUCGUUAGUCGAAACGAUCACCAAACGUUCGUCAAUUUUCAAAUCAAAGUCAUAUGGGGUACUUCUCUAACCUUCAAUUAGAGAAUUAGAGGAUCAAUUUGGUUCAAAACCUCAAAACUCCAAAAUCCCCAAUUCUAACUCUAAAUUUCAAUUUCUCCACAAUUAUCCCAAAAUUCAUAGAGAAACAUCGAUUAAACAAGUAUAAAGUCAUCUAGGCGACUAGAAACCUUAAUUUCAAGUGGAUUUAACAAAAAUCCUAACCUCUUAACUCAAAAACGAAUCUCGAGUUGAAAGCACUUCGAGCCACCAAGCGCCCAAAAGCUCGGUUCUCCACUUCUCCGAGCAUCCCGAGCUUGGUCUCUACCAAAACUCCAAGUUUGGGAGGAAUCUAGAGAGAGGAAGAGGAGAGGAAAAGAAUGGUUCUUGUCCUUACUUCUCUUAUGCGUGAGGGAGAAAAUGAGAGAAAAAGGGUUGUGAGGCUUAUUUAUAAAGGGGAGAAGCUACAAUUGCCAAAAUCCUCUUAAACUAGACAUUUUUCGCGCGACGGGUUCGGACCUUGGCUCCAGGAUCCUGAACGCAUAGCUUGUUUUUUCGUACUGUGCGGUCAAGGUCCGGACCUUAGGUUCAGGGUCCGGAACCCGAAAGUCCACAGCUCAAAAAUGUAAUUUUCAAAAAUUCUCAUUUUUGCUUUUUGAGCCUCUAAUUCAUUUCUAAUCAUUUUAAAACCCUCAAAUCUCAUUUUUGAGCACAUUUAAAUUACUUCUCGUUUGUACUUUGCCCAAUUGGCAUAACUUGGUAUAGUAUUUCGAAACUCGAUACACUACAUUAAUUGCAUAUUGAUCUCCAACCGUUUCACUAUUUUUUAUUUUUGGUCCCUAAUUUUUUUUUUUUUUUUACAAUCAAAAUUUCAGAUCUUUUGAUUUCAUCGCGAUAAAAUAGAACUAUUAAAAGAGAUUUUAGAAUUAACAACAUUAUCAUGUCAUCGCCUAUUUAGCUUUUUUUUACAUGUCAAUUUUAGUCCCUAAAUUUUGCAUGUUUUUGACUUUAGCCCCUAAAAAUAAAAAUUUAAAAUUUUGAAGGCCUCCCCUUAUUUUGGGGUUGUGUGGCCCACAUACAAAUAUUUUUAAGAAUUAAUUGCACAUUGGUCACCAAAAUUUUUAUUAUUUUUUAUUUUGGUUCCUAAUCUUUUCUGUUUGCAAUCAAGUGAGUUUGUAUUCUUUAAUAAUUAUAUAUUAUAAAUUAUCUUUUUAAUAUAAAUUAUAAUAUUAAACUUUGUAUUAAUUUAUAUGCCGUAAUGACUAACUAUAAGUGAGUUUGUAUUCUUCAAUAAUUAUAUAUUAUAGAUUAUUAUUUUAAUAUAAAUUAUAAUAUUAAACUUCGAAUUAAUUUACAUGUCGUAAUGACUAACUGUAAUAAUGUUACCCACCGCAUCAUGCGGGUUCCGUAACUAGUAGAUCAUCAUUUGUCAAGCCAAUCAAAUAGUAACAAGCAAUUAUUCAAUAGUUCAACAAUCGAUAGUUCGCAAAAAUGAUCUCAUCUAUAUAGCUAUCGGAACUCUUCGACAUGUAUUAGACAUAAUCUUUUGUAGAGUGAGUUGUGUUACUUACACAUCAUAUCUUGUCAAUUUGAUAGACGGUAUACCGAAAAAAGAAAAAACUGAUAUGCAGGCAUGCUGAUAUGUUAUGUUCAACUACAAUAGAGGCCAACAUGGAUAGCAGUAAGAAUAUUCAUAAUAACCAACCGUCCCUAGAGCAAGUGGCAAAGGGCUUGGUGGUUGGUACUCGAGACCCAAGUUCGAAUCCUAGUUGAUUCACAUUUCCAGCUAAGUUUAUUUUCGAAUGAAAUAGACGAAGCGGGUAGCGUGCUAUCUAUCUCUCUAAAAAAAAGAAUAUUCAUAAUAGAAAGAAUUAAUUGCUCUCUAGGAAACAAUUUCUUGAAGCACUGCUUAGAAUAAUCAUUGCAUGAGGCUGCUACAACUAGCCUAACAAGUAUUUUGAAGCUCACCACCAAUAUUUUAAAAAUUGAAUCAAAUAGUGAUCUAAAUAUAUUACUGGGUCAAAAAUUACUGAUUCAACAAGUGGGUCAACUACUGGUUGAACUAGUUACAUAAGCACGACGUUAUAAAUAUUUAAUUAUUUAUAGAAAAAUAUAAAUAUUUUUUAUUAUAUAGGAAAAUAUAUUUAUGUUAUUAUUGUUGGAUAAUACUUAGUUAUUAUAAAAUAUUUAUUUCUAGACUAAAUUUAGUAGAUAUAUGUUUUCAAGUUUCACUUUUUAUAAAACUAAUAUGCGCUAAUAGAAAAUAAAAUUAGUUAAGUUGAUUUUAAGUGAUUGGAUUUUAAUGGACUUGAUAAAAAAAAUCAACCAGUUCGAUUAAAACCGAAUUAGUUCAUUAGUUUGAUGGUUGAACCACCGCUUCGAACUAUUCAAAAGGGGUUUUUGAUAUAUCCGAUUCAAAGGAUUGAAUUAAACAGUUUUAUAGGCUAGGUCACGUUUAGACAAAUCCAAUCGACCGAUUCGACUCGCUUUUUAAAUAAUUAUUCACAAGGCCAAUUCUGCUUAGGCCUAGCCUAUAGGCCUAAAGCAAAUGGGCUAUUGGAGGGAAAGGGUUGGGCCACAGUUGGACCUGUGGUGGGCUCUCUCUCUCUCUCUCUCUCCAUCUACUUGGCAUUGAGUGUCCCUAUUUUAACUAGGUGGAAAGAAGUUGGGAUGAGAAUAAAUAGAAAUAUAGUACUCGAGACCUAAGUUUGAAUCCUAGUUGAUUCACAUUUCUUGCUAAGUUUAUUUCUAAAUGAAAUAAACGAUGCGGAUAGCGUGCUACCUAUCUCUAAAAAAAAAAAAAACUAGGUGGAAAGAAGUUGGGAUGAAAAUAAAUAGAAAUAUUUUUUUUUUACUGUUGAAGACCACAUAAGUUUUAUCUUAUCUAAUAUAUUACUAUUUGCAUAAUAUGAUAUUAUUUUACAGAAAUGAAUGAAUUACCUUUUUUUUGUAUUUUCUCAUAAAGUGCCAUCUCCAUGCAAUCUCAAAUGGCUUUUUAGUUUGUUUUUUUUUUCUUGAUUGAAUUAUUGUGCGCUUGUGUAUUGUUAUUUGAACUCGAAUAUAUUAGUAUUUUGUUUGGAUGGAUAAAAAAAAAAGAGAAAUGAAAAAAAAAAGGAGUGAAUUAUUCUCUCUCAUCUUAAUUAAAAUUUUAGAAAGAAAAUAUAAAUGGAGAUAAAUUGACAUUCUAUAAUAGCUUUUUUCUUGUUCAAAAAUGGAGAGAAAUAGAGAGAAAAGAGAAAUGCUACUUAUAUGUUUAUUGUUGAGAUGUACACCUCAUAACCCUCUAUUCUAAGAUUUAAAUCAUUUUUUUUAGAUUCUUAAUAUUUAAAGAGCCAUAAACUAGUAUAAAAUAAGUUGGAUUUUUGGAUGAGGAGGUAAUAAGAAAAUCUACAAAAUUGAUGUGUAGCAUUGGUUAGACCUAAAUCUUUGGCAUGUCAAAUAGGGAUGAAAAUGGAUCCGCUAUUAUCCAAUCGGAGUUCACUCCAAAUAAUCUGAUUCUCCAGAUACCCAAAAAUGAAUUAAGAUUUUAUUAUCCAUCUAGGAUUCAGAUUCAAAUACAGAUUUCUAGUUAUUAUUUUUUUCGAAUUCGGAUUUGAAUUCAAAUUUGGGUUCACUAUUCUUCAUUUGAUUCGGUUCCAAAAUUGGAUAAUCUGAAACUGAAUUGGUUUUCAUAUAUUUUUUUUCAUAAGGUAACAUAACUGAUGAGCCUAUAUUUGACAUUUAUUUUUUUAAAUUAUCAAUUUUUUUUCUAAAAUAAUUUAUAUUCAUAUUUGUUUAAUAUUUGAACCAUAGGACCGUAUUCUCAAUUCAUUUCUAUCAAAAGUUCAAAACCGGAUUUGAAUGUAACGUAAAAAAAAGUAUGGAUUCGUAUCUAGCCCAUUUUCAUUCCUUAUGUAAGAAUUUUAAAGGUUAAAUUAUAAAAAACUUUAUGCAAAUAUUCGCUUUUUUAUUUUUUUUGACUUUUAAAAAUUUACAUUUUGUUUCCUCAAAAAUUUAAAAUUUUUUUUCAAUAAUAUAAUAUUAAUAGAGAGAGUAAAAGAACCAAAUUAUCUUUCUUUUUUCUAUAAGAAAAACUAAUAUUUUUUUUUAAUGUAUCUCUAUUAUUUUAAAGGACAUUUUUGAUAUAAAUUAUAAAAAAUUAAUGGAAUAGUGAUGAAACCCUAAUAGAGAGGGACUAAAUACGACAGCUUAAAAUAUAGAUGGAGUAAAAUAUAAAUUUUGAAAAAUUAGGAACAAAAUGCGAAAAAAUGGAUAUUUACGAGAGUGUUUUGUGUAAUUUAGCCGAUUCUAAAACCCGAUAAAAACCCUAAACCCAGUCUGCCGCCGAAUGUAACCAUAGACACGCCGGCCUCCAUCACGGACUUUUUUCAAAAAUAACCCUGUAAAAGUUCGUAUUUGCCAAACUAAUCCCGUAAAAUUUUUAUUUGUAAAACUAAUCCUCCUUUCGCCAUGUGGGCGCUACGUCAGGGAUUCCUCAAAAAGGCAGUGAAUCGUUUACCGUCUUUGUAAUUUGUUGUAAAAGCGGUGAAUGGUUCACCGUUUUUAGAAGACGAUAAACCAUUCACCGCCUUUAGUGCAAAAUUUUUUUUUCCGCCCUUUUUCCUUUCCGCUCUCUCAAGCCCGCCUCUUCUGUGCCCUCGAGAAGACGGGGAACGAUUCACCGUCUUAUCAAGGACACCAUAUUAUGGACUUGGAAAGAUUUGCGCAGUGUAGGAAUUUGUACUAAAAACGGUGAAUGGUUCACUGUCUUCACAACAAAUAUCAAUAUCAAAGACGGUGAACGAUUCACCGUCUUUUUGAGGAAUUCCUGACGUGGCGCCCACGUGGCGAAAGGAGGGUUAGUUUCACAAAUAAAAAUUUUACAGGGUUAGUUUGGCAAAUACGAAAUUUUACAGGAUUAUUUUCGAAAAAAGUCCUCCAUCACUUUGAUCUGCCGACUGCUGCCAGACGAAACCCUAAUUUUAUGCCGGACAGACAGACAGAUAGGCGGCCUGCGCAGCCGAGAGAGUAAUUUCUUGGUCGCAAUAUUUUUCCUCUUCAAUUCUCUUUUUUUUUUUUUUUUCCCUUUUUUCUAUUUCUUUUUAUGGUGGAUUUUGGAUCUGAAUAUGAUGAAGAUGGUAAUGCGUUUCCUAACGUCUCGACACCUGAGAUCGCUUCGCGAUCUGUGAUUACCCACACAUCUUCUGAUUCCAACAAAUGCUAUGAUGGUAGAAUCUUAUAAAAUUUUGUAGUCUAUGUAGUUGGAUACUCGGAUAUGUUGCAUGAUGGAUUUUUUUUUUUUUUUUUGGGUGUGUUAUUGUUAGUUGUUUUAUAAUGCGGUAGGAAUGUUAAUUCUCUUAAAAAAAAUUAAAAGAACAAAAAAAAAAGAUUUAUUUAGGCAUUGUUUACUUUAGUAUUGUUGUUAUUUUUUUAAAAAAAUUUAAAUGGGGUUUUUUAUAUGAAAUUGUAUAAAAAAGGAUAGUGGAUUUCUUACAAUUCUUCGGAAGUAAUUUUUUUUUUCCACUUUGAAAAUUUUUACACAAAAUUACAAAGUGAAAUAGGUUUUUUUUUUUUUAAAUUUUUUUUUAUUGCUUAAGCAAUUCUCUAUCCACUCUCUUAUAUAAAGAUUCUACGGUAAACUUCAAUUACUGCUCAUGUGACUCUGUUAUUUGAAAAGUUUCACUUUACUAUUAUGUGAUUUUUUUUUAAAAAAACUUUUUUUUUCACUUUUAGAACUUGCUGUUAAAUAGGGUAGUAAAGUGAUGCGUCUUACUAACUAUAGGAUAAUUAACUGGAAAAUAUUUGCUUGUAAAGUGCUACAUUUUGCUACUUAAUUUGCUGUCGUAGUUUGUAAAUUAUAAUGUUUUGCUAUCCUAUUUAAUUUUCACUUAGUAAAGGAGAAAAUUAUAAUGUAACAGAGUGAGAUAUACGCUAAAUCACAUGCGGAGAAAUUGAAGUUUUUCCAAAAUUUUAUUCAACAAGAAAUAAAAGAAAAAUGGCACCAGUACAAAACGGAUGCAUAGAUAUAAACGGUUGGCUUACCAACCCAUCGCAAUUCGUAAUUGCUCUGGUGUCAAAUGGUCCGAUCAAAAUCGCUAUAAUUGGUUUCAGAGUAAACUUCAAUUUGUUUCCCUCUCGUUUAGUUCAUUUUCACUUUACUAUUCCGUGGUUCAAAAAGUUGCACUUAACAAUGCUGUGGUUUAGCACAUUUUUAUUUUGUCGACCUGUGAUUUAAAAAUUUACACUUAAUUAUUCCUGUGAUUAUCAAAAAGUUUCACUUUUGCUACCCUAUUUGAUAGUAGAUUUUUUUCGAUAAAAGAAAGAUAAAAUCACAGGAUAGUUAAGUGCUACUUUUUGAGCCACACGGGGUGGCGAGGUAAAAAAAUGAGCUAUUAUAUUUAUUUCUAUUGUAUUUUUGUUAGAAUUUGUUAUCCUCGAUCAUUUAGAUGUUGUCAUGUUUCACCAUUUUUUUCGUGUGUUGAGAAACUGAUUCUGAGGCGGCAAAUGAUGCAGAUAUCUUAUCCUACACUCUGAACAUGUUGUGUGGACUAUACUUCGCUUAUUAUCUGAUGCCAUUUAUGUUUGUUACGAUGUUAAGAAUGUUGAUUUUGGUUUUCGAAUUUUAGUUGGUUUGCUGUUUUGAUUUCAGUGGUGUCCGCAGUUUUUCUGUUGCUUCUUCAAUAGUCUUUAAAACCUUUUUUUUUUAGAAUUUGUUAUCUUUGAUCAUUUAGAUAUUGUUAUGUUUCUCCAUUUUUUUUUCAUACACUAAGAAGCUGAUUCUGGGGUGGCAAAUGAUGCAGAUAUCUUAUCCUACACGCUGAACAUGCCGUGUAGACUAUACUCUGCUUAUUAUAUCUGAUGCAAUUCGUGUUUGUAUACAAUAUUUAGAAUGUCGGUUUCAGUUUUUGAAUUUCAGUUGGUUUGUCGUUUUGAUUUCAGCAGUUUUCGUUGUUUCAGGUAUUUCCGAUUUCUCUUUUCUGUUGUCUCUCCUGUAGUCUUUUAAAACUUCAAUUGAUCAACAUAAGCACUAUCAACAAAGUACAGGUGAACCCCUCGACUUUGAGUGGUUCUAUAGCGCAAUACAACUGUGAUUUUUUUAGCAGCUGAAAUUGUAACAGCAAAUGCUGACAGAGCUUGAAUAAUCAAAAUUAGAAAAAUUAGAAGAUUUAGCAGUGGAGAGUCCGAUUUGAAAAGUAGUUGAGUGGUCUGAAUGCAUUUAUACCACUGACCAAUAUGUAGGAAACAAUGGAGGGAGAACCCACCAGGUUGGCCAUCAGCAGGAGGAGGAGAUAGAAAAAGCGCGACUGCAGAAGUUUCAAAUUGAGUUUGUAUUGCUGCAGCUCGAAGCAGAAGCUAUAGCCGAGCUUACUUUUUGAAAGGUUGAUAUACUGAUCUUUAUCUUAGUAAUGCUAUGCUCUUAUCCUCUUGGAUAAUUUACGAAUUAUACACAAAUUAUAUGCAUAUAUAUGUAGAGCUUGGUGUCUUUCGAUUUGUGAUUUGUGAUGUGAUGUGGUGGGCGUAUGUAGUGUAGCAUCUUGAAUUGCUUUCGAGUGUUUGAAUGCCAUGAUUUGCGUCGUGUAUCAGAUGAACGGCUCACUAACAAAUAUUUGUUGCAAUGCCCAACAAAACUGUGGAGCUCGAGUGUAGUGGUUGUGUCGCAUAUCAAAUGUUAUAUCCCUACUCGAAUCCAAGGGAAAAUGCACGAUCUGAAUCCCAUGUAAAAAUUUUUGUUAUGUAAGAAUAUACAAAUCUUCUCUGAAUUAUGGAUCAUUUUGAGUUGGCUACCGAAAUUUUCAAAAUUUUACUUUUAAUAUAUAAUUUUUUAAUUUCUUUGAUUGAAAUUAGUUAAUGGCAUUUUGAUUUCAAAAUUUAAGUUAAUAAUUUAUAGUUGUGAGAAUUAUAUAAAGUAUACUAUGUAAAUGUAAACAACGUAUUUAAAUUUUGAAGUCGGAAUAUUGUUGACCAACUCAAAUGAAAUAAAUUAAAAGAUUUCAGUAUUGAAAAUGAAAAUUUUGAAAGUUGGAAUACUUUGAAUUAUAGUUCAAAUUCUUCUUCUUUUUCUGUUUUUUUUUUUUUUUAAUAUUGUAAACUGUGGUUUCUGAAAACUUGAACCUGCAAAGUAAAUCUAAAAUAUGAAACCAAAACGAAAAAUUAUUCGGAUUGGAGGAAAAGAAGAAAAAAAUCCAAAAACUUGAAACCAAAUAACAACUAUAUUUAAUAAACUUAAUAAACAAAUUAAUUAACAAGAUAUAAUGAUAAUUAUACGGGGGUGUAAAAUCACUGUGCACAAGUAAAGUUAUUUAAUAUUAUUAUAUUAUAUAAGCUAUGUAUAUUUUAUAUGGUUUUUCAGAGUUGAGUUAUGAUACUUUUACAAGUAUCACCAUCAUGGUGCUAUUAGGUUUUAAGCCAUUGGAUCUACUUUUUGAUUAUUAAUAGCCCUUGGAUUAAACACUAUUCCACCUAUCACCACCUACUACUACCUACCACCAUCAUCUCAACCUCACAUCUCUCCAUCCAAGGGCUAAAAACACACAAGUAUCACUCCCAUGAUACUUUUACAAGUAUUCUAGCCCUACUCUGGUUUUUCAUAAUAUUAUUCGAUGAGGAGUUAUUAGAGUGUCACAUCUGGAAAAAAGAUAAUAUUUUUUUUGUUUUAUUUUUUUGUUUUUUUGGAACACAAAAGCUGCCUUCAGUCCUAAAGCGUUUUCUGGUUCGGUGCGUGCAGUGCUGUCUGCCUAUGAAGAAAUUACUGCCUGCACUCUGUGUAUUCCAGAUAUCUCACAGUCUGCCAGAUAUCCCUGUUUCUUCAAAAACAAAAAAAAAAAAAAAAAAAUUCUGCUCUGGUAUUUGAAUAAAAUAAAGAAUUGAUUUUUUUUUUUUUUGAGAAAAAGGUAGCACGCUAUCCGCUUCAUUUAUUGAGAGUAUGAACUAAGCUACAUGGGUGAGGCAGCCUGGGUCUCGAGAGAGCGAAUGAAAAAAAAAGAAAAAAAAAAGAAAAAACAUAGGUCAAGAGGUCAGCUUAGCUGGAAUAAGAGGUCAUCCUAAAGAAUUGAAUUUUAAUACUUUAUUAUCUAACUACCAAAUAGUUCGAUAAGAACAGAUUAUUUAAUUCAUUUAAGGGCUAUUUGAUUGGAUAUAAUUAUAAAUACAGUAUAAUUUUUAGUUGGGUAUAAUAAAAGGUGUCGUAAAUACAAAUAAUUUGUUUGCUUGUAUAAGACUGAGAAGUUUAAGUUUUUACUCUGUAGAAAAACAAAAAUUCAAUUUGAAAGGUUUUUAAGAAGGUAAGCUUGUUUUUAUUUAAAAUUAUUUUUUCAAUUGCUGGAGUUGGAAUUGUGCAUAAUUUCAACUAUCUAUAGUAAUACACUAUUUGGCAAUGAUAUUACAUCAACAACAGAAAUUCUCAUAAAGCCACGCAAGGCAUUAAAUUCUUAACCAAUAAAAUCUUGACACACAUCUUUCAAAAAUUUUGGCGUAUCCAUUUCAUCAUAAACCGAUUCUAAAAUGUGCAUCUAAAUUGUGUAUCUAUAGUAAUAUACUAUUGGGUAAUAACAUCAUAUCAACAAAAGGGAUUCUCAUGAAGCCACAUAAGGCAUUAAAUUCUUAACCAAUAAAACCUUGACAGACAUCUUUCAAAAAAUUUGUGUGCACCUGUUUCACCGUAAACCAAUUUUAAAAUAUGCAUCUCAGUUGUGCAUCUAUAGUAAUACACUAUUCGGUAAAAGCAUCACAUCAACAAAAAGGAUUCUCAUGAAGCCACUUAAGGCAUUAAAUUUUUAACCAAUAAAACCUUGACACACAUCUUUCGGAAAAUUUGCGCGCACCUAUUUCACCUUAAAUCGAUUCUAAAAUGUGUAUCUUAGUCGUAUAAUAAAUUAUUUAAAUCUUUUAUAUUAUAUUAUAUGAGAUUAAUCAUCAAAUACUUUAUUAAUUAUAUAAUAUUCUAUAUAGUAUAUAAAAUAUUAGUAUGCAUCUCCUCUCAUCAACAUAACAAACUCUCCUCAAGCCAUGGGCAUUAAUUUUUUAACCAAUAGUAAAUUGCCACAUCUUGAAAAUUCUGGACGUGCCCGGUUUACCGUAAGCCGAUUCUAAAAUGUGAAUAAGAUAAAAUUGUAGUCGUAUACUAAAUUAUUUAAAUAUUUUAUAUUACAUCGUAUUUUAUUUGACGGUAUUAAUUAUUAAAUACAUUCACAUUUAAAUUAUUCUAAAUCUAUUGUAAAAUAUAUUUUGAUGGAUAAAAUUACAGCUUUUGUAUCCAUUCACAUUUCUACUUAUACACCCUAAAAAGAAAAUUUAAAUACUUUUCAGUAAAAGUUAAAAAAAAUUAAUGUGACUAAGUAAAGAGUUAAUAGUUUUUAGAUGGAGUGAAUAUAAGAUAUACAACCUAUUUUAGAAUUGAUCUAUUACAUCUUCGUUCUACUGCGCUUAAACUAAUUGGAACCGAUUUGCUAUCAGUUUCGUUUAUUUUUUCAGAAAUAAACUUAGCUGAAAAUAGGAAUCGAGUAGAAUUCGAACUUAGAAUCUCGGAUACCAACCACCAAGCCCUUUGUUACUUGCGCUAGAAACGGUUGGUAGAAUAGAAAAAAUUAUCAAGCAAAAAAAUUGGAUUUUUAGGCGGUUCAUGAGAUGUUGGGAUGCGCCUGGCGCAGGCAAUAGUUCUUUUUCCCCUAUUGAAUUAAAGAAAGAAAAAAGAAGAAGAAUAGUUUGAGAAAAGAAUGUCUCCUACCCCUCCCUCCUCUCGUGCUCUCCUUGCUCCCCCUUCAAACCCUCGACAAACCAUGGUAUAUUCUCCUUUUCCCCACAAUCCCUAUCUCGUUUCUCCCUCCUCCUCCUCCUCAAUAUCCAAAUCCCCCUCCUUUUUGCUAUUUUUGCCUUUUUUUUUUUAUUUUUUUGGUACAGUUUUGGAGAGGAGAGCCUUGAAGUAGAACUAGCAUUGGCUUGUGGCCUCAUGGAAACCCACUUGAUCCAAAUGUUACAUGAUCUCUCUCUCUCUCACUCUGUCUUUCUUGUUGUUGUUGUUGUUGAAGUAUCCAUGGACUUGAAUCUUUGCUAGUAUUAGAUGUGAAGAACCCCAAAAUAAUCUUAUAGCUAGGAAAAAGGAAAAAAAAUUAAGGGAAAAAAAAGAUUUUGAUUUAGUUUUAUUCAAUGAUUGGUUUUGUUUUUGAUGUGCAGGUACAUGCGUCUAGCUAAUGAAUUUGCAAGAACCUUCGAUUCGCUUUUUCAUGUAUGUUGCUCUUUUGUUGCAUUGGUUAAUGUUUGUGUCUGUUUAAAACUAAGUUUAUGCCUCAAAUUGGUGCCAAGAUUUGUUUUUUGUGUUGUUGCUGUUGGAAUUUUAGAUGAUUUCGGGCCAUUGUUGAAGACUCCGAAUCUCUUGAUUUGGUUAUGAACAAUAUUUUUAGGGGUCAUAGCCAAAUUACUAAUGGAGUCUCUUGUGCUGAGUGAUUACUGUGAGAUUGGAACCCUGAUUGAUGCUUAAUUUGGGCUUUUAGAUCAGCAGGGAAUGCAUUAGCAGUAUUGAUGUUCUUUUCAUUAUUAUGAUUUUGAUUAUUUUGUAUUUGUGCUGCAUCUUAAUUUGGUGGUAUUAUGCAGAGGAUUCAAUCUUCCAUGAUUUUGAAGUUUAUAUUGGGAUUGUUCUGGCAUUUACUCCAUAUAGCGGUGAGCUUGGUGCAUAUUUGGUCAUAUGUGAUUCAACAGUUGCGGUGCUACAUCAUUUCAAGUGGGUUGUUUGCAAAGUAUCGAAAUUUCUCUCUGAGCCGUCUUCGCUACUUGGCUGUCAUAGUGGACAGUCAAGAAGCUAAGCAUACCGCGAAGAUCAAGCAACUUCUCUCGUGGUUGUCGGCUAUUGGUGUAAAGCAUGUCGCCCUUUAUGAUGCAGAAGGUGACAAUAAUUGUCCAUUCCUUUCUAAACACGCGUGUUAUUGAGACUAGUUGUAUGUUCAUACUUUGAAACUUGUUAAGCGAAGAUGAAAAGUGCAGAAAGCCUCUAUCGUGAAUUUCACAUGAAUGCCUGUUUGGUCUGGCUUCUAAACUGACUUCUUUACCUAAGAAAGUAGAAUCUUCUAGAUGCCAAGCCUUUGGCAAACUAAAAAUGUCUGGAGCUUUUGCUGUGUUUGGGGUGCUGCAAUGAACUUUUUGAUGCGAAAAAUAGAAGCUCCAACAUGAAGAUUCUAAUUCUUCUACAACAUGAGGUUGUUCCGAGAAAUUUAAUGGAAAAGCUUACUGUGCUUUUUCAAGCAGCUUUGCUCAAGGACCACUUUUGCAGAAACUGUAGAGAGGUCAAAUGGGCUGAAAUCUUGAAAUUAUUAUAUUCCUUUUCUAAUUAUUUGCUUCUGUAGAGGAGGAAAACUUACUAUGACAGACCGUUUAAGAAGUUGAGUAAAGUAAUAUUGUUUUCCUGUCUAGGUGUGCUGAAGAAGUCAAUUGAUUUUGGUCAGACGAGAUUGAGAGAUCGAAGUGCGGGAACCUGUCUUGUAAGUUGGAUGACCUAGAUUGCUGAUUCCUUUAUCCAUGGCGUGAUUAAACAUGUUUCUCAACUUUCAAAUUUUAAAUUUUCCUGUUCGUUUUCAUGAAUAACCGUAUAUGUUUUUGACAUGUAGGAUGGUGAUGUAAACUGUGUAACUUCUCUUUGUAAUUAUGAGGAAAUGUCGAUAGAGUUACUUUCUUUUACUGAUGGUAAAGAAGGGAUUGCCAAAGCAGCUAGCUUCCUAUGCUCCGAUUACUUAAAAAAUGAUUCUGACGACUGUGGCAGAACCGAGACUUUAUUCACAGAAGCCAACAUGACUAAGGCUUUAAAAGCUGUAGGUGUGUUAAUUAUUUUCAUUCGUUUACUCUAUUUUCACUAUAAACCUAUUCUCUUAACCUUUGUGCACUUUAACAUUGGAGCUAGGUUGUUAAUAUUGCUGAAAAUUCCUUGAAUUUAGGUUAUUAUGGCCCAGAGCCUGACCUCCUCCUUGUCUAUGGACCUGCCAGAUGUCAUUUAGGGUUUCCUCCAUGGAGACUGCGGUAUACAGAGAUUAUGUAAGUUUGUUAUGGUUAUUGUGUUAUUUCUGUAUAUUUAUCUAUUUCCCAAAAAAAUAUCUAGAAUAGUGGUCUUCAUUGAUUUUCCUAUAUUUUUCCCAUUAACUUGUGUCCUUACGAUUUUCACAUUUUCAAGGUUCUUUAUUUGUCCUCUUACUUAUUUAAGAAGUCCUCUCUCUUAUUUAAGACAGUCAGUACAUAGACUUCUUUGGUUGGACACGUUUAAGUGGAAUAUUGUGGUACUUCUUUGGGACAGAUAGAUCUACUUUAGCAGAGUGUAUCUUCUUUUAUGUCUCGUUGUGCAAUUUAGUACCAUAUUACUGAUUGUCUAUUUUCUUUAAUAUAUAUUUUAUUCUUUUACCUUUGAAGAUUCACUAGCUUGAAAAUGAAAGAAAUUUGUUGAUUAGAUGUAACAUCAGAAGUCUGAUACAACUUAGAAAUACAGCAAUCAAACUGUAUGUGGGGAAAAUAGGGGAACCAUGCUACUCACAACUUAGUAGUGCAGUUCAUGGUUGUGGCUCAGAGCUUGCCAUCGAAUCUAGUGAGAAUUUGUUUUUUUGUCAUAGAAACUUGGGAUGUUAGUUGUGCUUUACAAAUAAAUAUGAUAAUAUUAUUCUAGGCUAUGCAAGCUUAGCUAUGGAAGUGUUCUUUUUUUUUUGUAUAGGUUUAAAUUGAACUGUUUUGGAAAGGAUGCCAGCUAAAAUCAGGGUUUCUUUUUUUUCAAGUUGAUAGAGCUGUGAGUGGUUGAUUACUCUAGUUAGUGGCUGAUCACCUAAUUUUGUUAUAUUUGGAGGAUGAAAUUGUUACUAAAAUGUUUAACACUGUGUUCCUUAUUCAUUUACAUGGAAGCUAUUUCAAAUCUAUGAAUGCUGGAAUAUACGUGUUUGAGCUUUAGAUUUAUAUUCUUAAUUUUGCCAAUUAAUGUUAUUGAUUAAUAGUCUUAGCAACACAGUCGGCGUUAAAUCAAAGUCGAAUGGUAUUUUCUCUCUAGCUUCGUCAACAGGGAACUCUAGUUAAUCCAUCAUUAGGAUCAAGUUUGCUAAGUUUAGUAAAACUCUAAUCAAUUCAUGUGAUUUUUAUGUAGUUUUAUGUAACUAAAUGGGCCACAACAGGAUACUUGGCAAUUGAAAGAAAAGAAACAAAUGAUGUCCUGUUUACACUACUGUAGCAUAAAGAUUAAGCACGAAUGUUCUUUUUAUCUCUCUUUUGGUGACUGGGUAACUUUCCUUCAUACUCUUUCCAUUUUUAUUUUCAUUGGUUGUGCGAGGUGUUAGCUCCGGAUUCUAGGACCCCUGUAUAAAGCUUUCUAUUAGCUCGUAAUGUUCAAUUCUAUGAAUUCAUCUUAAGCCUUUGAAUAAUGGUGAUAGAUAGAAUUAGUAUUCAGUACAAGUGAAGAAUUUUACUGUUUCAAAAACAAAACAUUUAAUAAUGAAGAGUGAAAUGUGCAUUCAGUAACAUAUUGCGCAUCGUCUAGGAAUCUUACAGUCACUAACCGUCGCAGUUUCCAGAGGUUUAAAGAGAUCAAUACAAAUACUUCUGUAAGCUUAUUUCUGGAAACAUUUGCUAACUGUUAAGUCAAUCAAGAAAUUUUCCCAUUUCAUGUAUUCAAUCGAAUUUUCUGUCGUUCGUGCUUUUUCAGAAUUCCCUGAUUCCUCUGUAUUUCGGUACACAUGCCACAAAAGUUGAACCACUUCCUCAGUUUUAAAACUAUAUCAGAUGCAUCCUAUAAUCAAAUAACAUACAUCAAUUUGUUUUCUCCGUUCUUAUUUUAAGAAACCACUUUGCAAACCGAGAACUAAAAACCAAGUUUCUGUUAAUUUUGCCAAAUGAACUGAACUGAAUUAGCCAAAAUGUUUUCAUUCGGUAAGGUAAUACAUUCAUCUGAUUCCUUUUUGCCCUGCUGUUUAUUUUGAUAGUAAACUAGCUGAUCUAGGACUUAAUUACGCAAUCAGAUUUCUUAAGUAUAUCUUGUUGUUUGAAGACAAAAAAGGUUUUGUUCUUCCUACUGAGGACGUUAAUAAAAACUAAGAAGUCCUAGAGUAAUUUACAUUUGUAAUCUGCGAUAGAUAUGAAUGCAGCAAUUACAUAUACUGUACAUAUCUAAUGUAGUACUUCACCUUUCUUUUUUCUUUUUUUUUUUCUCUGUGUCUAUCAUAUUCUAUUCUUUUAUAAUCAAUCCUAGACUUAAUUAGUUAAUUGCUAACGGUUUUGUGUUUUUUAUUCAGGCAUAUGGGGCCGCUGAAAUCCAUGAAAUAUAGCGCCAUUGUGAAGGCCCUGUAUGAUUUUUCAAAAAAGUACCAAAACUACGGUAAACCAUCUUCUUUUUUUUUGUUACUUUAUUUGUACAUUCCAUACUCUUGUACAAGAGGAAGCCUAAUUCUUAAUGCUUAAUAUUAUCUCUUCUUCUUUGCUUCAUUAUUCCGCUUGCGGAGGCACCAAAUUUCAUGCUGAUUAUUACUGGGACUUUUGAGUUUUAAUGAAUAACCCCUUUCCGGUCUCUUUCUUUUCAGGUUCUUAGUUGAAAUGCUGAUAUGAUAAUGACGAAGAGGGGCUUCAGUUUUAUUAUUCGGAAUUUCUCUAAAUUUCAGGAGGUCGAAUUACUAUUCAACUGGUUAUUUACAGGAAUCGCAGAUGAAUACUGCUUCUGAUAAUUUUUUUCCCCCUUUUCUUCUGUCAUAUUAUAUUUUAUAGCUUCACAGAAUCAUAAGAUAUUUGAUAAACAAUGUAAUCAAUAAGAUUCUGAGAAAAUCCCACAGCUUUAUAAGCAAUGUUGAUCUUAUAUAUCUUUUUGUAAUGCUUCGCGAGUCUUUACUUAUGAUGCGAUGCUUCUUGAGAUAAUUACUUACAAUUUGUUUUUUCAAUUUUGAAAAAUAAUUACUUCAAAUUAAUUCCUCAAAUAUUAUCGAAAUUUGGGACCAGCUCUGAAGAUCGAGAAACCCUUUGCAAAAUUUUCUUUUCCAUACUGAAUAUAUAAAUUUGGUCAGUAAACUUAAUGUCAGAUGACAAAAUAGUGUCAAUUUGAUAAAUUUAUAGUAAGUUUCAGGAGCAUUUUAUUCAUUUUCUAGAAGUAUUUGUAAAAGUUCGCAGCCCGACAGUGUAGUUUAUCUGAAAUGGGAAUUCACAGAGUGAGCGAUUUGCUGCCACCACAACUUAUCUUGAUAACUAUCAGUAGAUAAGAAGGCUUAAAGCACCAAGGAAGAGAGCAAAAUAAUACCGCAAAUUUCUCCUGGACAAAAUAUAGAUCCACAAGUUGAACAUAAAGCGCAUGUAUGAUGCGAAACAUUUAGCUACCAAAAAAAAUUACACUCGCAAACUCGCAGGCAUUGUUUCUUUCUACAUGUUAGCUUGAACAGCUGAACUUCAUAUGAGAUGCUCACAUAACACAGAAACUAGUCAGCAUAUGAAAAAAAAAAAAAAAAACUUUGCCAUAGCAUGCAGCACCACAUAAUGAGACGACAAACAUCAUUAGUUUUUACAGACAACUGAGUCUAUGACGACGGCGUCGAGAGAGCAGGGUAUUUCCAUAUUCUAUAUACAAAUCGGACUCCAUAUAGGAAUUCUAUUGCUCCUCCUUCUUACGAUGGCCAUUGGGUUCUUGACCCCCAUUCCUUUUGCCCACCCCUUGAAGGGCGGAAGCAAAAUCACCGCCCGUUUGUUGCUUGGCGAACCUCGGAUAAGAAGAUCCGGGUAAAGAUGCAGCCGCCUCAGGCUGCCAUGGGUUGGAGUACCUUUUGGUGGUAGAAAUCGAUGGCGCUUGACUCAUCCAUCGAUUUUCGCUAGUAUUAAUCUUCGAGUCUAAAAUGACUUUUUGAUCGGAUUCUGUAAGCUUGGGUUUGGUCUCAUUAAGAUUAAUUCCUUGAUCACUUGCCUGGUCCUUUUCUCGAUCUAGUUUUGGUUUAGGCACUACAAAUGGAACGGUCGGUUGCCAAAAGGCUGCCUGAUUCACGUCUCGAGAACUGAUUUUCUUUUCGCCCUUCUCCUUGAAAACAUGAUCUGUCUCCAAAAAAUCAGAAGUACUACUUUGUUUCACUAUUUCUGGGUGCUUAUCCUUGUCUUGAUUUGAGUUCAAAUGAUAGAAGUCGAUUAUAUCAGCUUUGGCAGUUGAAGAACGCCCGGAAGAAAUCGAUGUCAUGGGAAAAGCCUUCUCAGGAGGCACAGCCGGGGUGUAGUUAGCGGGAAGCAAAUCGUCCCAAUUUUCCAACAGUUCUUUGUAGACUUUACGAAGAGUGACCUCCGUGAGGCCCGUCACUUUGCAUAUCUCGGCCUGGGUUUUGCGUUUGUCUUCCAGCUGGCAUGCAAGGUAUAUAGCAGCUGCGGAUAUGCUGAUUGGAUUCCGACGUGUGCAAAAGCACUUGUUGAUAACCACUUCUCCAAUAUGAGCAGCGAGUUCCUGAGAUUUUACAUGAGAUUGUUUGACAAAAGAAUAUCACAAAUAUUAGAGAAAAAUAAGUCAUCAUAGUCAGGGACAGGAAAUUGCACCUGAGCAGAUUUAUUAAGCUGGAGAAGAGUGCAGAACCUGGGCAUAUGAACUGAUAUCGAAUUACUAUUGAUAGGUUGGCUUAGUUUUAGAGCUUCUCCAAGUAUUUUGAUGUACUUGCCUAUCUCUUUCUGAGGAAGGUUGCUUGCGGUAGAGAUUUCCUGGUAAUGCACAAGAUAUAAAAGAGAAUUCAGAUGGUUAUAUAAACAUGUAUUGUCUAUGUAUAGUCUAGUCAUAUAUCUUUCAUGAUUCUUAGCUAGAGUUUUAUUUAGAUUUUAUGGUUCUUAACAAUCUUUUCCAAAGUUCUUUAUGACUUUCACUGUCAAAUUGCUUAGUCAAUAUUCCAAACAUCUAGUUGAGUGCACUAAUUUUUAAAGUAUUGCUUCAAUGCAGAGAACCCCUAUCUGCCAACGUAUAUAAAAGCAGCCACUAAUAAAAAAUUUUCUGGAUUUCAAAUAUUCAUCCAUUUUGCUUUCAGGAGGAAUAUAUAUUUUGAGACACCAAGCUCAGUAUGUUUACAAUAAUUAAAGAAGCAUUACCAAAUCCAAGCAGUGUACCAUGAAGAUCAUAAAAAUGAGCUGAUGUUCAUUAACAAUAGCUGCCGUAUUUUAAUAAUUGCUAAGCUAACACAGCAAUAAUCAUAGAGCCUAUACUGAAAUCUUAUUUUUCUGUUUACUCAUAAAUCAUACUCAUAUAGCCUACGCAGAAAUCAUAUAGCUAUAUAGACAAUGGAGUGCGCUAACUAUCACAAACAAGCGAACAACAAAAGAUCUGUAAUACCACCAAUCGUUACUCCGAUUGGUUAAGUAGCCUGGUCCUCAAUAUGUCUCUGUUGCAAGUCCUGCACAAUGUAGGAUAUUUAGUUUUGUUAAAUGUUUGUAUAAUUGAUAAAAAAGAGGAGAUUCAAAGUCCUAGUACUUCCAUUUACCUUUCCCGUACAAUUCAUAGGAAAGAGUGUUAGAGUGUCUUUUAUUACAAUUGAUUAGACCAGUGGGAUGCUUCACUCUACAGUAGGAUACGUAGGGAUUUCUUCCAAGUACAUCUCUUAUUUGGAUUCGAGUAGGUAUUACAAGGUUCCCUAUAACAUGUCAAAAAGAGGCAAUACACAUAGAAUCCAUGGUAACCAACUAACCAUUUUGUUAUUAACAUAUUAACAAUACCACAAGGAACUUCACCAAUACAAGGUUAUAACAUGUAGUGCAGUGACACAGAAAUUUCUAUCUCCGCCAAAGGUGAUAAUGCAACAACACAAAUUGAUUUCUACAGACAUUGGAAGUUAAUGCACUCGUUAACAACUUAUAAAUGCAUUGAAUCCUGUACUUGAUAUGACAUUGACAUAUUCCAAAAAUGCAAUACCCUUAAACAAAUCUAUUUCUUCAAAUUAGAAGGUAAAUAGCUCCCAAAAGCAAGGGUUCACAUUUGUUUACUUAUCCACAAUGAGUUAUUGUCCUCAAUUUCAACCGGGACACAAGAAGUUCAUUAUUUAUUGUUUUCUAUGAGCUUACAAACUUCGAUAUCUCGUCACUCCUCAUAUACAUAGAACGAGAGAAAACAAUUAGCAUGAUGUUCUAGGACAUUGUAACCUUCAAAACCAUUCUUCUGAUGUUUUAGGUCAUUGCAACCUUCAAAACCAUUCUUCAACAAUUAGCACGAUGUUUUAAGGGCAUUCUAACCUUCAAAACCAUUUUUCAACAACUAGCACGACGAUCUAGGGCAUUGUCACCUUCAAAACCAUUCCUCGACAACUAGCAUGAUGUUCUAGGGCAUCGUAACCUUUAAAUCCAUUCUUUGACAAUUAGUAUUAUGUUCUAGGGCAACUAUAAACUUCACAACGAUUCUUAGACAAUUAAUAUGACGCCGCAGGGUAUUGUAAGCUUGUAAACCAUUCUUUGCCAGUUGACAUGAUGUUUUAGGGCAAUAUAAACUUCAAAACCAUUCAUAGAUGGCUCUUAACAAUAACAAUAACAAAAUAUAUGCAAUCAGAGCAUCCGGUUAUUAAUCCUCAUAAAUUAUUAAGAAAUAUUAGGGAACGGAUCGGAACCUGCAGAGUCCUCGGCUCCUGCGCCUCCCGGAUCGCCUGCACGAGCGCGGCGGUAGCGAGGGCCUCGACGCUGCGAUUCCUGAGGCAAAUCGCGGAGGAGCAGUCCCUGAAGAGCUCAAAGGCGUGGUCGGCGAUGUCGUGAUCGAGCCCUAGAAUGGAGGCGACGUCGAUGAUUUGCAGGUAGGCUCGGAGGUUGUCGACGGAGACGAGGGGCCCCGAGGGAUCGGCGCUGCCACCGCCUCCUCCUCCGCCGCCUCCGCCGCCGCCGCCGCCGCCGCCGAGGAGGGCGCGCUCGAGCUCGGCGAGGUGGCCGGAGAAGGAGAGGGCGGAGCGGGCGAAGACGGGGGCGGGCUCGAGGGACCAGGCGGAGAAGGCGGUGACGAAGCCGGUGGGGAGGAAGGGGUCGUCGUCGUCGUCGUCGUCGUCGUCGUCGCCGCCGCCGUGGUGGCCAUGGUCGGCGUGGGCUUGAGGAGGAGGAGGAGGGGGUUGGGGUUUGUUGGUGGGGGGGAGGAGGUCGGGGGUGGAGAGGGGGAGCGGGGUGUCGAGGGCGCGGAGUAGGAAGAGCGGGUGGGAGUGGACGCGGCGCUCCUCCACGACGCGGCCGCACGAGGCGCACUCCGUCACGGAGCGCCCCGCCGCGGUCGCCGCGCACCGGCCCUGCGUCCCCGGGCAGUACGGGCACCGCACCCGCCACAUCGAUCUCACACACACCCACCCACCACGAGGAGUGAGAGAGAGAGAAGAGAAUGAGAACGGACUUGGGCCUCCUUUUAUUUAGGGUAAAUUGCACUUUGGUCCUCAAACUUUGAGAACGUUGACACAGUGGUCCUCAAAGGUUUUUUUUUUUUUUUUUUGUGAUUUGAGAGAAAAGUAGCCAACGCUACCUGUUUAUUCAUAUAGAAAAUAAUAUAUUUUUUUGUGUGAGAAGAAAGGUAGCAACGCUACCUGCUUUAUUCAUAUAUAAAAUAAAUUCAGCUAUAAAAGUUGAGACAACUUGGUCAUCAUAACAAAAACUAAAAAAAAUAAUAAUAAAAAAUAAAAUAAAAUAAAUAAAGAAAAUAAAUAAAAUAAUAAUAAUAAAAAGUAAAAAGAAUAGACAAGUGCAAAGGUUAAUGAGCAAACAAACAAUGUUACUAGUAUGCACACAAGAAAGUGUUAUUAUAUAUAUAUAUAUAUAUAUAUAUAUAUAUAUAUAGAGAGAGAGAGAAGAGAUGAGAGAGAGAGAGAAAACUAUGCCGCGAAGACUAUCAAUAGCACCAAUAGCUAUUAAUUUUUUAACCCUUAAAUUAAAAAAUAUGUGGUUUAGGAUGACGUGGCGCUCUCUAGGGUUGAGUAAGUAAUUGGUUGAAUAGUAUAAUCUUAACAAGUAAAAAAUUUAAAGGGUUAAAUUUAACGGUAAAAGAAACUCGAUAGCACCAAUUCUUGUGCUAUCGAUAUAUAUUCCAGCGGACUAUAUAUAUAUAUAUAUAUAUAUAUAUAUAUAUAUAUAUAUAUUAUUAUAUAUAUAUUAUAUAUAUAUAUAAUAAACUACUAAUUGGAAACUCUAAUUCGUUUGUUCGGGUUAUAAAUAAGAACUAGUUAUACCGGGGAUAGGUACAAGUAUGAAUUUUUGUAAGAAUAAGAUAUUUUUUUAUUUGGAUGAAAAUAUGGAGUAUAAGAUUGGAACUAGAAAAAUUGUGUUUAUAUAAAAAUGUAAGUAUAAGAUAGAAUAGUUGGUAGUUAUAAAUAAAAAAUAAUGAUAUUACCCUAUAAUUGAAUUUAAAUUUUUAAAUUUAUAAUUUUAAAUUGAAAAUUUUAACUUUUAAAUUUUGAAAUUUUAAAUUUUUAAAUUAUUAAAAGUAAAUUUUAAAAUUUAAAUUUAAAAUAAAAUCUCUUUCUCUCUCUCUCUUCUCUCUCUCUCUCUUGUACAGAGGGGGGGGUGGGCGUUCGGUGGGGGGGGGGUUUGAACAACUUGUUUCCACCCCCAAAAACGUGUUUGGGUAUAAAGGGGGAUAACCCCCUUAUCCCCUUUAUAUCCGAUCCAAACGGUAACUAAAGCAUUCUCCGCAACCCACGACUGGUGGGUCUCGCUUUCCAAUCGUUGCAUAUGUGGGGCCCACUUACGCCGUUAGGCGCUUCACUGUUCCCGUUUUCUCCCCCACCAUUUCUUUUCUCCCUCUUGCUCGCGACCUCCGCCAUGGCGGUCCGCCGUUACCCCAGUCUUUGCCAGGAUGGGCGUGCCAUCCUUGCCAGGACAGAGGAGGUGUGGUUCCGUCGUUGUCUCCACCAUGGCCUAGUGGAGCCGUUGGUACGGCCUUGGCUUCUCAGAUUUCCUGCAGAUUUUUGUGCUGCCUCGGAAGGCGGGCCGUGCUCUCCUGUGAUGUGCCCUCCUGCAACUUGCCAAGGCACCGUGGGAGUCGGUCGCUGGCGUAAAUGGCUCGAUGGGUACGGCAAGUACGAAGGGGGUAUGGUCUCUGUGUCCGGGUGUGUUUCCUGCCCCUUCCUUAUCUGAUAAAUUGAUUGGUCUCUUGUUUAGAAAGAUAGCUUACAAAUACCAGAUUAUUUGCGGUUUGUUUCUCUUUUCCUACUGUUUACUCCUCUCGUUGGUUUCCUUUGACUUUUUUUCCUAUUCUUCACCCCCGCCGCCAUCGGUUCCGUUCGAAUUUGCUCGCUGGUGGUGUAGGUCGAUCGGUUCCCUUUUUUUUUUUAUGCUGCAUAUUCUUUUUUAGGUAUGGCCGUAUGGGGUUGGAAAUUUGCUGAAUUUUUUUCCGCCUUUGGUCUUGCUGGCUGUGUUGCAUCUGUUUGUUUGGCGACUACCAUGAUUAUGGUGCUUUGCGACCUCUUCCCGAAUUUUAUUGUUGUGUUGCAUUUGCUCGCUGGUGCUGUCAGAAAACUGCAUGAUAAGUUGACCUUUGAAGUCAGGGGUUUUAAUUUAGGAGAUAAAAAAAAAUUUAUGAAAAUUUAUAUGAGCGCCUUUGCACGGACCAUUGUUUGCUCGAGAAAUUAUAUAAAUCCUACUAAAGCUACAAGUUCUGAUAUCUUAGCUUUUGGUGUUAGGAAUUGCACUUUUUUUUCUUUUUCUUUUUUUUUAUUAUUUUGUUUCCCUUUUUGUUUCUACAUGUUAGCUUCUUUAUUCCUUUUUUUUUUUUUCCCUUGUGACAGUAGUCUUGCUGCUUGUCACUACCGCGCCGUUGUUACGGUGAAGGCCAGAUUAUUUUGGCCUAUAAAUUGAUGGAGGCUUGGAGGAUUUUUGGUCUUGGGUUCAUUAAAAGUUUGCCUAUUUUUUAUAUAAACGAUUUUAGGACUUUAGAAGACAUUUUCUUGCUAAUAUGAUUUUAUUGAUUUGAAGGAUGGAUGUUUAGACAUUGUUAUUUAGUUUUGAUAGUUUUAAUUUGUUGGUCCUGUAAGUUUGAUGUGGUUCCGACUUGGAGCGAACUUGAUAUAUGAUAUAUUUUAUACUUUGGGGCACUAGUUAAAUCUGAGUUGAACAUGAAAUGAUAUAAUAGUUUUGGCUCAAAUUAAAUUGUUAAAAAAGUUAUUCUCUAACAUGCAGCGGAUUAUUAACCAACUGAUGAAGAUCGAAAGAAAAGAAGAAACCUUUCUAUGAUUUAGCACGUUGAAUAUUUGAUCUAUACUAGAUUAGCCUGCUUCUAAUUUGGAAGAUGUACUGCUACUUUUGAGAAAUUUUGUAUGUAUUAAUUUGAGGCUAGCCCUUUUUGUAUGAGCACCUGCCAUAUUUUGCUAUGUUUAAUCUGCAAUUAAUGAAUCAGAUGGGUAGAACAAGUGCUAGCAAGAGAUUUUGAUUCAUAGGAGUUUAAAUGGGCUGGGCUCAUUGAUUUUGUUCUAUGAUUUGGAGCGAGUCUAGCUAGAUGAAUAAAUAUAAUGAAUAUUGGUUUGGAACUUGGUAUGUAAUUUUUUUUUUUUUUUUUUCUCUUUUACUUAUAGUAGGCUAUGUUAGUUAAUUCGCGAAUUAUUCGCGAAUUAUUGAAAAUCUGAAUUAAACAGUUCGUUUAUGAAAUUUUUCCAAAUAUAGAGAAUUAUUCGCGAAUUUUUGGGCCAACCGAAUAAUUCGCGAAUUAUUGAAAAUAUGAAUAAAAAAUAUAUAAUUUUAUAUUUAAAUAUAGAUUAUAUUAUAUUUUAUAUCUUAUAUUUUAUAUUUUAUACCAAAUUUAUUUUUUAAGCCAAAUUUUUCAAUGAAUUUAAAAAUUAGAAAAUGAAUUUUAUGUGUAGUAUACCUGUACCGAAUUUUUGCCGAAUCCAAAUUAACUAACUAUGAUAGUAGGAGGAUUAGCUUUCUUUGCCUUGAAACCUGCUGCUCUCUCGCUUUUUGCCUUUUGCUUCUUGAUUUUGAGUAUUGGAAUAUAAAAGAGUUGUGUGUUGCAAGUAAACUUGGUAAAUAAAUUGGACCCGUGAGUGUCGAUCGAAGCCAAGAAAAGAUUCAAUCAGAGCUGUGUAUUGUAAGUAAAUCAUAGCCAAAAAAGGAGGAAGGUGCCCUUCGCUUCUGUACUGCAAUAUUCUGAUGUUUAACUCAGCUUGGUUAUUUGAAAUCGAUUGAGAGUUUUUUUUUUUUUUUUUUUUUUUUUUUUUUUUGUGAGAGAUAGGUAGCACGCUACCUGCUUCGUUUAUUUUAUUUAGAAAUAAACUUAGCUGGAAAUGUGAAUCAACUAGGAUUCGAACUUACGUCUCGGAUACCAACCAUCAAACCCUUUGCCACUUGCUUUAGGGACGGUCGGUAAUCGGUUGAGCGUGUUAGAGGGAGAGAAAAGAAGAAAGCUUAUAUAGAGACGAUUUUAUAUUGUUGCAAUUUCUUUGUCUCUGUGUAAGAGAUUUGGAUUUAUUCGAAUGUUAUGUGUUUUUUUUUUGGGGGCUAUGACGAUAGUGUUUCUCAAAUAGUGUGGCUUUUAUCAUGUUUGAAAAGGUUUCAGCUAAUUUGUUUGGGUUUGUAUCUAAGAUCAACAAUAUUUGGAUGGCUUGUUUGGCAUACAACCAUUUGCUACCGAAAUAUUUUUGUGGUAUGUUAUCAAAUCUGAGCUAAAUAGUUUGGAAUUUAUAACUAUUUAUUUUUCGAAUUGCUUUUUGGGUAAUAUUCCUCUUUUAUUGUAGUUUUUUUCUUAAAAAAAAUGUUAAAUUAAUAUUUCAAUUUUGCUUUUGAGAAUAUGCAGAAAUGUUAUUGGAAUUUUGUACUUUGCUCAUAUUUCUAAAUCUACUCGGUUGUAUUUGACGUAAUUAAUGUAAAUCGUGGAGGCAAAUCAUAAAAAAUGUACACUCGUGCAACACAGCUGAUAGAAUUAAUCCUAUAAUAAAUCAAAACCUCAAAACCGUCCGGAUUAAUGAUUUGUUGUGUUUGUAACGGGUUAAGUUACAUUUAUUGUAAUAGGCGAUGGUAUGCUGUGUUAUAAACAAAUUUAUAAAGGGAGAAAAUUAUUGAAGAUGUCUUCAAUAUAACGCAAAUCAUUAUCCGUGUAAGGCAGAUCCAUGUUUGACUAAAUUUGUAUAUUACCCGUUAUUUUGGCAAAUUACACGUUAAUCGUAUUGACUGCUCGUUAUUUUUAAAAUGAUCAUUAAAGAUGUUACAAAUGACAUAUUGUUGUUACAAAUGACAUAUUGUUACAAAUGACAUGUUACAAAUGAUUUGGCACAUGCUUAGUUGUUUCAUAUUACACGUUAUUAUUAUCCAUUAAAAUAGUAUUGAUAUCAUUCUUUCUUGAAGUUCUUGUAGCAAUCAUUUUAAACCAUAAUAUUAUAUGCUGUGUUGAUCAUUACAACCCUAAUCACUAAUAUAUAUAUAUAAGGUUCCUCUUAUCAAGUCACUAUAUAAUGAUUCAUUUACAAACCGUCGUAUUAAAAAGGGCUGGAUCAUAUUUAAUUUGUUCAGCUGACAGCUGAACAAAUCCCCACGUUAUUAGAAAUGAACAAAUCCCCACGUUAUUGGAAAUCAGUUUUAAAAGUUUCCUCCUCUUUUUACUUGUUUUAAGAUCUUAUAUUAUCUACCACCAUACAUUGUCAUUUUUCAAAUAUAUUAUUGUGAUAUUUUAAACAAUAGAUUAUAUUAUGGUCUUUUAAAAAUUGUAUAUUUAUUUAUAUAUUGACCUCGAGAAGUAUAAAAAUGUAAAAAAAAAGACUACGUUGCAGGUAACUCGUAUAUAUAGCCAAAACAUAAACAUCCUCCUUAUAAGCCCACAAAAACAUAAACAGUGAAAUAGAAUUUGGGCCUAAUUUACAGAGCCAUAAAUAAAAAUAAAAGAUAAAAAAAAGUGGAUGUCCGUUUGAGUGGGCUGCUGGGCCAUAUUGGACUGCGAAUGCGGCGGCCCGUAAUCCGUCCACCGUUGAGAGCGGGAGGUGUUCGCUGCUCUGUGAAGCCAGCCUCACGCGUUCCCCUCCACUUCAGGGGCCACUUGACCCAAAGCCUCCGCCUGGGCCCACAUGACCCACAAACCCAACUUGGACCGGGCGGGCCAGCCCCUCGCACAACUGCAGCCCAGACCCAACCACACCAUCAAACGUCCAAGCCCACCCUGUUGCCCCCGCUCGGGUAACAAGCUCUCGCAACUGAGCUCGGCGAUC